rnacentral:rRNA from 1 species
CAGUAGCCGCGGGAAUACGUAGGGUGCAAGCGUUAAUCGGAAUUACUGGGCGUAAAGCGUGCGCAGGCGGUGAUGUAAGACAGUUGUGAAAUCCCCGGGCUCAACCUGGGAACUGCAUCUGUGACUGCAUUGCUGGAGUGCGGCAGAGGGGGAUGGAAUUCCGCGUGUAGCAGUGAAAUGCGUAGAUAUGCGGAGGAACACCGAUGGCGAAGGCAAUCCCCUGGGCCUGCACUGACGCUCAUGCACGAAAGCGUGGGGAGCAAACAGGAUUAGAUACCCGCGUAGUCCCUGUCUCUUAUAC